GCUUCCGUAGCGCAGUUGGUAGCGCAACUGAUUCGUAAUCAGUAGGUCGUCGGUUCGAGUCCGAUCGGAAGCU
rnacentral:tRNA from 1 species